rnacentral:rRNA from 1 species
AGUGGGUGCGAGCAUCUUUGUGGCCAAGUUAUGUAGGGCACAUGGUGGAUGCCUUGGUACCAGGAGCCGAUGAAGGACGUGGGAGAC